GUCUGGGUGACAGGAAGCAAGUGGUCUGUCAUGCUUAUUGCCUAGCUUCCAGAUUAACCUUGUCUUUAAAAAUAACGUGCUUGCCUAAUAGGCCUUUCAGUGUAAGACAAAAAUUCUUUGGGAACCUACGUAGUAGGUUUGCUUUACUGAUUUGGUAAACGGAAAAAAAGGAGGGGGAACAUGGGCAAAGGAAGAUUUGAUGAAAAAGAAAAUGUGUCCAACUGCAUCCAGUUGAAAACCUCAGUAAUUAAGGGUAUUAAGAACCAAUUGAUAGAUCAAUUUCCAGGUAUUGAACCAUGGCUUAAUCAAAUCAUGCCUAAGAAAGAUCCUGUCAAAAUAGUUCGAUGCCAUGAACAUAUAGAAAUCCUUACAGUAAAUGGAGAAUUGCUAUUUUUUAGACAAAGAGAAGGGCCUUUUUAUCCAACCCUAAGGUUGCUUCACAAAUAUCCUUUUAUCCUGCCACACCAGCAAGUUGAUAAAGGAGCCAUCAAAUUUGUACUCAGUGGAGCAAAUAUCAUGUGUCCAGGCUUAACUUCUCCAGGAGCUAAGCUUUACUCUGCAGCAGUAGAUACCAUUGUUGCAAUUAUGGCUGAAGGGAAACAGCAUGCUCUGUGUGUUGGAGUCAUGAAGAUGUCUGCAGAAGACAUAUGGAUACAGACAUUUACAAGAUUGUGGUGACCUGUGUUACAGUUAGAAGUUGGUGAGAAAGGUGAGGGUGCAUAAUAAAAACACAGAGAUCAUUUGGCUGGCUGUUCCAGCUAGACUUCCCAGGAUAUUACAUAGGUGAACAAAGGUACUGACCCUCAGGUUGAGAAACCAUUUUCUACUGACAUGCUAAGACUUGGAAAUUUCCCAUUAGAAUACAAAUUUAUUCAUUUAUAGUGAUAAGUAAGCAGGAAGUUCUUGGUAAACAUGGAGGAGAUCAAAGGAAGGUUGAUAACUUGGGGUAAUAACUUUAUCCUGGCUUGAAUUAAGCUUAGAGAUUUCUUUUCUGUCUCAUCAUUAAUUAGUAUGCUUAUUUCUGCCAAAAUCUUGUCUUUUUCCUAGCCUAUAGAAGUGCCCUGAUAUUUUACCUCCUAUAUCCUUUUCAAGUUCCUUAUAGAAAAGUAUCCUUUUAUUGUGACAGUUAUAUUCUACAACCUACCACAUUGUUAUAUUAUUUUAAUAUGCAGAUAGAAGUACAGUCUCAUCAGCAAUAUAUUAUCUCGGAAGGAGAUUUUUCUUCUUCUUCUUCUUUUUUUUUUUGACAGGCAGAGUGGAUAGAGAGAGACAGAGAGAAAGGUCUUCCUUUUUGCCGUUGGUUCACCCUCCAUUGGCCGCUGUGUCUGGCGCAUCUCGCUGAUCCGAAGCCAGGAGCCAGGUGCUUCUCCCGGUCUCCCAUGCGGGUGUGGGGCCCAACGACUUGGGCCAUCCUCCACUGCCUUCCCGGGCCAUAGCAGAGAGCUGGCCUGGAAGAGGGGCAACCGGGAUAGAAUUCGGCACCCCAACUAGGACUAGAACCCAGUGUGCCGGCGCAAGGCAGAGGAUUAGCCUGUUGAGCCACGGCGCCGGCUAAAGGAAGGAGAUUUUUCAACAGUUUCAUUUUAUGCUAACUUACUGGCUUCAGAUUCAUAUGUGAGAGAAUAUAUGUGUCAUUGAUGUCAAAACCAAACUUUGAACCUUUAUUUUUGGUGUUAAGGUAAUGUUAAUUGGCCCAGAUUGUUUAUGGAGUAUUAGCAAUUAGGAAACACACAUUAGAAAAGUUAAGAAUUUUUAUUGCCUAGUUUCUGAAAUUAUUUAUUCUUGUCUCUAACCAAUGUUACAGUGGGUAUAGGGAAUACUUUUUAAAUAUUCAUCAUCAACAUCUGUGCUUGUUUUUCUACCAUGCUGAGGUACACUGACUAUGUCGCCUUGGUGAUGUAUACUAACUAUGUAUGUUCCUGGCUUUCCCUGGAUCUGAGACCUCAGCUCCUCAGUGUGAAUCAGGAGUGUCCCUCUGCAUCUGUGAGCCUUAUCAGCUUCUGAAUAUUAGAUCAUACAUGGAAUCUGAGCCUGUCCUGUGCUGAUGCAUGAUGAAGCCCUGAGGCUUGGAAACUUGAAAACCAGAAAAAUCAUGAUUUUCUGAUGAAACUGCAUGUUAGUUUGACACUGUCAAUAAUAGUCCUGAGUAAGCUCAUAUUUGAGACAACUUUUAUUUAUUAUUAUUUUUUGACAAUGAGAAACAGACCAUUUAUUAUCAUAAAUACAUCUUUGUGAAGGCUGGAAAGUAUUAGCUUUUUCAUAUUUAAAAUUUUUAGGUAUUUAUUUAUUUGAGAGGUAGAGUUAUAGACAAAGGGAGGGAGAGACAGAGAGAAAGGUCUUCCAUCUGCUGGUUCACUCCCCAGAUGGCCACAAUGGCUGGAGCUGGCCAAUCCAAAGCCAGGAGCCAGGAGCUUCUUCCAGGUCUCCCACGUGGGUGCAGGGGCCAAGGACUUGGGCCAUCUUCUACUGCUUUCCCAGGCCAUAGCAGAGAGCUGGAUUGGAAGAGGAGCAGCCAGGACACGAACUGGCAUCCAUAUGGGAUUCCAGCGCCACAAGAGGAGGCUUAGCCCACUAUGUCACAGUGCUGACCCCCAUAUUUGACAUUUAAAAAAAUUUUAAAUUACUUUUUAUUUUUUUUAAAGAAUUGAUUUUUUUUUUGGACAGGCAGAGUGGGUAGUGAGAGAGAGAGAGACAGAGAGAAAGGUCUUCCUUUUUGCCGUUGGUUCACCCUCCAAUGGCCGCUGCGGCCGGCGCAUCUCGCUGAUCCGAGGCCAGGAGCCAGGUGCCUCCCCUGGUCUCCCAUGCGGGUACAGGGCCCAAGCACUUGGGCCAUCCUCCACUGCCUUCCUGGGCCAUAGCAGAGAGCUGGCCUGGAAGAGGGGCAACUGGGAUAGAAUCCAGUGCCCCAACCGGGACUAGAACCCGGUGUGCCGGCGCCGCAAGGUGGAGGAUUAGCCUGUUAAGCCACGGCACUGGCAAAAAAAUUUUAAAUUACUUUUUAACAGAUUUAGUGUGCUUUGUAGAUAUAAUUCUUUUUUAAAAUAUUUAUUUUAUUUAUUUGAAAGAGUUACAGAGAGAGGUAGAGACAGAGAGAGAGGUCUUCCAUCCACUGGUUCAUUCCUUAGAUGGCUGCAACGGCCUGAGCUGAGCCGAUCUGAAACCAGGAGCCAGGGGCAGCUUCUGCGUCUCCCACGUGGGUGCAGGGGCCCAACUGCUUGGGCCAUCUACUGCUUUCCCAGGCCAUUGCAGAAAGUUGGAUUGGAAGAGGAGCAGCAGGACUAGAACCUGUGCCCAUAUGGGAUGCCGGCACUUCAGGCCAGGGCUUUAACCCACUGCGCCAUAGCACCAGCACCGGUAGAUAAAAUUUUAAGAACAUAAUAUUCCCUUCCUCCCUCUCCCUACCAUCCUCCUUCCUUGAUACAACUUUUUUUUUUUUUUUUUAACAGGUAGAGUGGACAGUGAGAGCCUUGAUACAACUUUUAAAAGCAAUACAUACUUCUAGUUUUGCUAUCAGUGGGUCUUGAAAUGUCUCUGCAUACUAUUUUUUAAAAGAUUUAUUUGAAAGAUAAAGGUACAUAUAUAUAGAGAGAUAUAGAAAGAUGUUCCACCCAGUGGUUCACUCCUCAAAUGGCCACAAGACCCAGGGCUGGGCCAGGCCGAAGCCAGGAGCCAGUAGCUUCAUCCAGGUCUCCUAUGCUGGUGCAGGGGCUCAAACAGUUGGGUUCUCUUCCACUGAUUUCCUAGGCCAUUAGCCAGUUAGCAGGAUUAGAAGUGGAGCAGCUGGGGCUUGAACUUGCACCCAUAUAUGGGAUGCUGGUGUCAUAGGCGGCAGCUUAACCCAUUAUACCACAACACUAGUGCCCCUACAUUUUGUGUUUUAAACUCAGUUUCUCAUGAUCUGAAAGAUUUUGUAUGCACUUCUUGGUCUAGAUAACUGUUUUCAUCAGUUUUAGUAUUGCUGUAUUUGAGUUUUGAAGCCAAAACUUACUCUUCCCUUAAACCUCUAGACUUAGUUUGUCUGGGUGAGGAGGUUGGAUGCUGUGUGUGUGUGUGUGUGUGUGUUUAAGAUUUAUAUAUUUAUUUGAAAGAGUUACACAGAGAGAAGGAAAGGUAGAGAGAGAGAGAGAGAGAGGUAUUCCAUUCACUGGUUCACUCUCCCAACUGGCCGCAAUGGCCAGAGCUGUGCCAAUCCAAAGCCAGGAGUCAGGAACUUCUUCUGGGUCUCCCAUGUGCUUGCAGGGACCCAAGCAUUUGGGCGAUCUUGUACUGCUUUCCCGGGUCAUAUCAGAGAGCUGGAUCAGAAGUGGAGCAGCCAGGACUCAAACCGGCACCUAUAUGGGAUGCGGACACUGCAGGCAUUGGCUUUAGCUGCUACACCACAGUGCCAGCCCCCAGAUGGUGUGUUUUGUAGUCUCCGGAAGGUUUCUUGGAGAACUGACUUAUCUAGGAUUAGGAAGAAGUAUACUUUGCAUGACUGAAUUCUUUCUGAAGUUUGCUUGUGUAAGCAUUUUAGACUUAGGAAAGUUCAAAUUGAGAUGUAUUUGAAUACAGAGUAGAAACUGCUUCAUUAAAGGGGCUAAUAGCUAUCUAACCAGUGAAAUUAGUAUCCCUCUCCUAAGUAGCUUUCAACAAGCACAUGACUGGAAAAUAUUUUUCAGUGGCAUUGCUUUAUUCUGUUUUAAAUAUAGUAAGGGUUAGGUGUUAUUAAAAACUUAGAUGCUUAUAUUAUACUUACAUUGUUUUACAAGAUUAAAUUUUUAUAUUUUGUAAAAUGUCUCAAAAGGAGUCCACACAGUAAUUCUUCUUUCUUGCUCCCAAAUGCAGAGGUCUAAGAGAAGGCACAUGGCCUCAAUAACUUCUGGGUGUUGUCAAACCGUACCCAAUACCCAGGUGCAUUUAAUAGGGUGCAGGAUUCUUACUUAAGUGGCGGUGUUUUGCUAAAGAAGUGUCUUAAUUAAAAUGUGAGGAUAUAGAAACCAUACCAAUUUGGGAAAUUUGGGCUCAAAUAAUGUCUAAUUUGCUGUGAAAGGGGAACAUACUCUAAGCUGACAUUCUUAAAACAAUUUAUGAAUUUCUUCCUUAAAAUGUAUAUUCAAAAGGAGUUUCAGGGAAAGUUGUUUAGUAUGUCACAGAUUACAUGUACAGAUAUUAUCUUAGAACUAUCCAUAUUAAGGAGUUGCCCUGUGAAUUUGGAUAUUCAAUAUCAGCUUUUAUUCACAUCGAUGUUCUAAUAUUUUACCAAAGUGUUUAAUACAAAGGAUUGACACAUAUUUAGGUGCUUAGAGUGCUAGCUAAACUUGUUCAUAUGAGUAAGAGGGAAAGGAAAAUAGCUUUCUCUGAGUGGCUACUGGGUGAAUAAACUGUACUUGCACAUCUGGCUUAAUUUUUACAAUGAUUCCUUGAGGUAGGUUUUUAUUCUCAUUUUGCAGACAGGGAAACAAGGCUCGGAGAGUUUAGGCAAGUUUCUUGAAGAUACAUAGCUAAUAAAUGGCAGAACAGAAUUUGAACCUAGCUCUGCCUGAGUGUAAAGAUCUCUCCCCGUAUAUUUCAUAAAGUGUUAAUCCCAACCCACAAUGUAAUCACCAGCUUUAUGAGUUAUUGGAGAGAAGUAUAAGCUGGUAUGCCUCUUUCCACAGUGAGAAAAUAGGUGUAGGAUUUGAACAAGAGUGAGGUGCUUGCAUAAUCUUAUUUGUGCUGCUCAGGGAAUGUUUCUUUGUUUCCCUCUUAAUCAUCAGGGUGUACUAGGAGAAUCUUUUGAAAUUGAAUUCAGUCCUGAAGUCUGAACUUUUCUUUUUAUUUAUCAUCUGCAAGCCAGAUGAUUUGUGACCAUUUAAGGGUUAUGCCAUCUAUAUCUUUAGAAACGGAUGGAGAAAGGAGGCUAGUUAAGAUUGGGGGGGGGGGGGGCAAUGAGAGUGUAGAGUGUAAUAUACAAAGGUAGGACAAGCUAAUGCUUUAUUUUAUUUUUAAAAUAUUCAUUUAUGGAUUUGAAAGGCCAGAGUGAUGAGAGAUAGAGAUCUUGUAUCCUCUGGAUCACUCCCCAAAUGGCUGCAGCAGCUGGGGCUGGUCCAAGCCAAAGUCAGGAGCCAGGAGCCAGGAGCCAGGAGCCAGGAACUCUAUCUGGGUCUCCCAUGUGGAUGGAAGGGGACCAAGCACUUGGGCCAUCUUCUGCUGCCUUCCCAGGUGCAUUAGCGGGGAGCUGGAUCACAAGCAGAGCAGCUGGGACUAAAACUGGCACUCUAAUAUGGUAUGCCAGCAUAGUGGGUAGUGGCUUAGCCUUCUGGUCCCCAAAUUUGAAAUUUUUAAGAUAGUCAUCUCUCUUAUUAGCAAAUCAGUCUCAUAUUUGCUUUCUAAUUGAUUAUCUUAUAGGUAGAUUUUAUAAAAGUGUUGUUACAUGAAGCCUUGCCCUUUGAGAAGUCUAAAAGGAAGAUACAUGUAAGGAAAGAUUUAUGCCAUCUUCAGGAGUUAGGCAUAAGUAAAGAUUCUGAUUAUCUGAUCUCUUUGUGUUUAUCAUAUGGGUCUAUUUUAUAGAAAACUCUAGAGGUGACCAUUUAAAAGCUGAUGCUUUGAAGAUAGUUGGAGGAAAAGGGUACUCAAUGUUAACAGUAAUGACAGAAGUUUUGCUUCAGUUUUAAUUCAAGGGAAAAAGUCAAGGGGUCUAGUCUAAUCUAUAUUUUGCUAUGGAUCUAAUGAUUUAAUUUUAAGAAAAAUGAUCCAGUGGUUGACCCCUUACAAGGAGGUGGCCAGGCUUGCUAAAUUCAGGUUGUAGUUUCUGUUGCAUUCAAGAAAACCAGAAAAAUAAAUACAACUUUUAGAAGAAACUAAGUUUUUAGCCUUACGUCUUUAAACCUAGAGUCCCACACUUCUGGAAUUGGUUAGAUCCAUGCUGUUCAGUAUAACAGCCACUAGCUAUAUGUGGCUACUGAGAACCAGAAAUAUGACUAUUCUGAAUUGAGAUAUUCUAUAACUGUAAAACACACUGGAUUUCAAAGGCUUAAUAAAAAAAAAAUGUAAGCUAAUUUCUUCC